rnacentral:rRNA from 1 species
CGCGUAGGCGGGAUGGCAAGUCGGUCGUGAAAUCCUUCGGCUCAACCGAGGAACGUCGAUCGAUACUGCUGUUCUUGAGGAUUGCAGAGGAGACUGGAAUUCCCGGUGUAGCGGUGAAAUGUGUAGAGAUCGGGAGGAACACCGGUGGCGAAGGCGGGUCUCUGGGCAAUUCCUGACGCUGAGGCGCGAAAGCGUGGGGAGCAAACGGGAUUAGAUACCCCGGUAGUCCACGCUGUAAACGAUGACGACUAGGUGUGGGGGGGUUCAGUCCCCUCCGUGCCGCAGCUAACGCAUUAAGUCGUCCGCCUGGGGAGUACGGCCGCAAGGUUGAA